rnacentral:lncRNA from 1 species
AUAAUAAUAAUAAUAAUAAAGGGAGUCGAAUUCGAAAAGAAUUAUGAAAAAAGAAUCGAAAUAACAUCAGUUAGACACUUACACGCUUGUACCUGUAAUUAUGGGAACUGGGAAGGGAGCAGUACCUUGGAAACGAUGUCGUAUGCGGUGGAGCAGAGGCUGGUCGAGUUUGCGGAAUCCAUGGCUUACACCGAAACUCGAGGCUUCAAAGAUUUCUGAUUCUCGUCCGGUUUGUCGAGCAUGUCCAAAGAGCUAUUAGAAAUGACGUUUACUUACC